rnacentral:rRNA from 1 species
GAUGAACGCUGGCGGCAGGCCUAACACAUGCAAGUCGAGCGAGCGGCGGACGGGUGAGUAAUGUAUGGGGACUGCCCGAUAGAGGGGGAUAACGACUGGAAACGGUGGCUAAUACCGCAUACUAUCGGCUAACCCAGGUGGGAGUAGCUAGUAGGUGGGGUAAAGGCUCACCUAGGCGACGAUCUCUGGCUGGUCUGAGAGGAUGAUCAGCCACACUGGGACUGAGACACGGCCCAGACUCCUACGGAGGCAGCAGUGGGGAAUAUUGCACAAUGGGCGCAAGCCUGAUGCAGCCAUGCCGCGUGUAUGAAGAAGGCCUUAGGGUUGUAAAGUACUUUCAGCGGGGAGGCGUUACCCGCAGAAGAAGCACCGGCUAACUCCGUGCCAGCAGCCGCGGUAAUUC